rnacentral:rRNA from 1 species
CCUACGGGGGGCUGCAGUGAGGAAUAUUGGUCAAUGGACGAGAGACUGAACCAGCCAAGUAGCGUGAAGGAUGACUGCCCUAUGGGUUGUAAACUUCUUUUAUAAAGGAAUAAAACGAGGCACGUGUGCCUUUUUGCGUGUACUUUAUGAAUAAGGAUCGGCUAACUCCGUGCCAGCAGCCGCGGUAAUACGGAGGAUCCGAGCGUUAUCCGGAUUUAUUGGGUUUAAAGGGAGCGUAGAUGGGUUGUUAAGUCAGUUGUGAAAGUUUGCGGCUCAACCGUAAAAUUGCAAUUGAUACUGGCAGUCUCGAGUACAGUUGAGGUAGGCGGAAUGCGUGGUGUAGCGGUGAAAUGCUUAGAUAUCACGAAGAACCCCGAUUGCGAAGGCAGCUUACUAAACUGUGACUGACAUUGAUGCUCGAAAGUGUGGGUAUCAAACAGGAUUAGAUACCCUUGUAGUC